GGUUAAUGUUUAAGAUUGCAAAUCUUGCUAUGGCGGUUCAAUUCCGCCCUUAACCU
rnacentral:tRNA from 1 species